GACGAAUGCUGGCGGCGUGCUUAACACAUGCAAGUCGAACGGAAAGGCCCUGCUUUUGUGGGGUGCUCGAGUGGCGAACGGGUGAGUAACACGUGAGUAACCUGCCCUUGACUUUGGGAUAACUUCAGGAAACUGGGGCUAAUACCGGAUAGGAGCUCCUGCUGCAUGGUGGGGGUUGGAAAGUUUCGGCGGUUGGGGAUGGACUCGCGGCUUAUCAGCUUGUUGGUGGGGUAGUGGCUUACCAAGGCUUUGACGGGUAGCCGGCCUGAGAGGGUGGCCGGCCACAUUGGGCCUGCGAUACGGCCCAGACUCCUACGGGAGGCAGCAGUGGGGAAUAUUGCACAAUGGGCGGAAGCCUGAUGCAGCAACGCCGCGUGCGGGAUGACGGCCUUCGGGUUGUAAACCGCUUUCGCCUGUGACGAAGCGUGAGUGACGGUAAUGGGUAAAGAAGCACCGGCUAACUACGUG
rnacentral:rRNA from 1 species